GAUGAACGCUAGCGGGAGGCCUAACACAUGCAAGCCGAGCGGUAGAGUUCCUUCGGGAACUUGAGAGCGGCGUACGGGUGCGUAACACGUGUGCAACCUACCUUUAUCUGGGGGAUAGCCUUUCGAAAGGAAGAUUAAUACCCCAUAAUAUAUUGAAUGGCAUCAUUUAAUAUUGAAAACUCUGGUGGAUAGAGAUGGGCACGCGCAAGAUUAGAUAGUUGGUGAGGUAACGGCUCACCAAGUCUGUGAUCUUUAGGGGUCCUGAGAGGGAGAUCCCCCACACUGGUACUGAGACACGGACCAGACUCCUACGGGAGGCAGCAGUGAGGAAUAUUGGACAAUGGGUGAGAGCCUGAUCCAGCCAUCCCGCGUGAAGGAUGACGGUCCUAUGGAUUGUAAACUUCUUUUGUACAGGAAUAAACCUAUUUACGUGUAAAUAGCUGAAGGUACUGUACGAAUAAGCACCGGCUAACUCCGUGCCAGCCGCCGCCGUAA
rnacentral:rRNA from 1 species